rnacentral:rRNA from 1 species
CUGAGAGGACGACCAGCCACACUGGGACUGAGACACGGCCCAGACUCCUACGGGAGGCAGCAGUGGGGGAUCUUGCGCAAUGGGCGAAAGCCUGACGCAGCGACGCCGCGUGGGGGAUGAAGGCCCUCGGGUUGUAAACCCCUUUCGGCAGGGACGAAGCGAUUGUGACGGUACCUGCAGAAGAAGCUCCGGCUAACUACGUGCCAGCAGCCGCGGUAAGACGUAGGGAGCGAGCGUUGUCCGGAUUUAUUGGGCGUAAAGCGCGCGCAGGCGGCCGCGCAAGUCGGACGUGAAAUCCCGAGGCUCAACCUCGGGACUGCAUCCGAUACUGCGUGGCUAGAGGUAGGUAGGGGAGAGCGGAAUUCCUGGUGUAGCGGUGAAAUGCGCAGAUAUCAGGAGGAACACCGGUGGCGAAGGCGGCUCUCUGGGCCUUACCUGACGCUCAGGCGCGAAAGCUAGGGGAGCGAACAGGAUUAGAUACCCUGGUAGUCCUAGCUGUAAACGUUGGGUGCUAGGUGUGGGGGGAUAUCGACCCCUUCCGUGCCGAAGCUAACGCAUUAAGCACCCCGCCUGGGGAGUACGGCCGCAAGGCUAAAACUCAAAGGAAUUGACG